CCUACGGGAGGCAGCAGUGGGGAAUAUUGCACAAUGGGGGGAACCCUGAUGCAGCGACGCCGCGUGGGUGAAGAAGCGCCUCGGCGCGUAAAGCCCUGUCAGCAGGGAAGAAAAUGACGGUACCUGAAGAAGAAGCCCCGGCUAACUACGUGCCAGCAGCCGAGGGAAUACGUAGGGGGCAAGCGUUAUCCGGAUUUACUGGGUGUAAAGGGGGCGCAGACGGCGAUGCAAGCCAGGAGUGGAAGCCCGGGGCCCAACCCCGGGACUGCUCUUGGAAGUGCGUGGCUGGAGUGCAGGAGGGGCAGGCGGAAUUCCUGGUGUAGCGGUGAAAUGCGUAGAUAUCAGGAGGAACACCGGUGGCGAAGGCGACCUGCUGGACUGCCACUGACGUUGAGGCCCGAAAGCGUGGGGAGCAAACAGGAUUAGAUACCCGUGUAGUC
rnacentral:rRNA from 1 species